rnacentral:rRNA from 1 species
CAGUAGCCACGGUAAUACGAAGGGGGCUAGCGUUGCUCGGAUUUACUGGGCGUAAAGGGCGCGUAGGCGGACUGAUAAGUCAGGGGUGAAAUCCCAAGGCUCAACCUUGGAACUGCCUUUGAUACUGUUUGUCUUGAGUUCGAGAGAGGUAAGUGGAACUGCGAGUGUAGAGGUGAAAUUCGUAGAUAUUCGCAAGAACACCAGUGGCGAAGGCGGCUUACUGGCUCGAAACUGACGCUGAGGCGCGAAAGCGUGGGGAGCAAACAGGAUUAGAUACCCCAGUAGUCCCUGUCUCUUAUAC